ACAUGGUUUAUCUACAGUAAAUGUAUGAAUUUAUGAGAAAUGGAACAGCCGGAUCCUAGUUCUCACACAGACAUGGUAGUUGUUUAACUCCUUAUGCUUCAUGGUUUGUUAAAAAAAAAGAGAACUUUAAACGGGUUUAUGAAUGUUUGGCAAUUUACAUUUGAAUGAAAAACGAAACUACCAUAUCAGCUAUAUAGACGGGCUAGAUGUUUUAAAGAUACCGGAAGUUUUACUCUCAUUCUUGGCUGUGUCUUUGAUAUAUACGGUGCAGAUCUUACCAUGACAAUGAAAAGAAUGAAAAUGACUAUCCUAGUACUUUCGAUUACAUUAUUCUACAAAACUAAUGGAUCGCCGGUGAGACAUAACAUAAUGCAAAGUGAAGCCGAUAAAUCGAGUAAACAGAAUUAUUACACGUUCUGGAAGAGACUGUCAACCAGACUCAUACCCCUAACAGGGGAACUACAGGAAGCUGUACAAGACAUUUUUAAUGACAUGUGUGCUGUGGAAAAAUAUGGUGAAAAUGACGCUGGCGUUGACUGCUGGCAAUUUGCUAUUAAUGAAGCAAAAAGACUGAACCUACCCCAGUCACCCGAAAAUAAUGUAUUAAGCAUCAAAAAUUCAAACAAGUUUAUGAAGAAACUUGUAAAAAGCACAGUACGGGUAUUGGCCCAGUAUAACCAGAGUCUUCCAAUGAUAUUCGCACAGUAUUUAAACGAAAUAAACUGUACCAACACGACAGACGCAUGCGCCUGGACAAUAACCAGCGUGGAAAGGAACUUAAUGAAGUUAAUUAAGAAUCUAAUUGAAACGAUGAAGAAUUUCUUUAAUAUUAAGGGAGAUUUAAGCCGUCAUAAAACUGAAAACCUGUUAGCAGACAAUCCGACCCCAGGAGAACAAAUGGCGCUGAUUUAUAGCCUCUCUCUGGAAUUAAUUGAAACCAAAGCAACACUGGAUUAUAUUGUUAAGACAACGUGGGAUAUCGAAAUCCUAAAGUCAUCGGGUCUCAAACGAAAAUUGCAAAUGUUGGCAAAUAAUGAUAGUCUUGGACUGAAAUAAAACUUAAACCUUCAAGAAGUAUCUCACUGUACGUCUUCCUUACAUUCGCUGUUAUUUAUGUGUAAUUUGAUGUUGGAAAAUUGGAUUACUUUUCAAUUGUUUUUAAGUGCAAUAAUAAUUAUUAUUAUUAUGUUUGUAUCAAAUCUAUAAACAUUAUGUAUUGAUUAAUGGUCGAGAGCGAGACAUUAAGUAAUAUAAUGUAACAACAUGAGGGCCGUGAGGACCGAAUGUUUUUACAAUAUAUUACGCAAUGUAAAAUACAGACACUUGCACGUGCUUUGCAAUGAAAUACGUCACUCGAGUUCAAUAUUUUGCCAAGUUACGCUUGGCACAUUGCCCGUACGAUUAUUUGAAAUAAUGGUACUCCAACAUCAAAGGAUGACGUCACAUCUGUAUUUUAAAUAAGUUUAAACGAGUUUUAUAGUAAAAUGUUUAUAUUUAUGUGCACCGAUCCUGAUCAUCUUAGUAUGGAACCAUGACCAGUAACCAUGUAAUGAAAUGCUUGAAUUACAUAUAUUGUCGUCGCCCCUGUCCUUCCGUCCACAAUUUGUUUGUGGACUCUCUACAGGUCACAAUUCUUGUCCGAUUUUUACGAAACUUGAAAUAUAGGUUUAUCCCCAAAAGAUCUCGGCUGCUUUCGAUAUUGGCAUGUAUCGGAUUGAAACUUCAUGGGUUAUGGCCCCUGUUUGUACGAAAAAUCACGUUUUUAGCUUGUGGACCCUAUAGAGGUCACAAUUUUUAUCCGAUUUUGUUGAAACUUAAAAUGUAAGUUUAUAACCCAAAAAUCUCGGUUCCUUUCGAUAUUCGCGCAUAUCGGACUGUAACUUCCUGAAUUAUGGCCCCUGAUUGUACGAAAAAUCGCGUUUUUAGCUUGUGGACCCUAUAGAGGUCAUAAAUUUUAUCCGAUUUAAAAAACCGUAUUAUUAUAUCACCGUUACACCCUCAGGACGACUGAGUUCGAAUUUCGUGAAAAUCGGCCCAAAAUUGACAGACAAAAUGGCUGCCGUUCGUUCUCAAAUAGCGUAAAAAUAUGGUAUAUCAAGGUUGUGGACCCUAUAGAGGUCACAAUUUUUAUCCGAUUUUGUUGAAACUUGAAAUGUAAGUUUAUAACCCAAAGAUCUCGGUUCCUAGCGAUAUUCGCGCAUAUCGGACCGUAACUUCCUGAAUUAUGGCCCCUGAUUGUACGAAAAAUCGCGUUUUUAGCUUGUGGACCCUAUAGAGGUCAUAAUUUUUAUCCGAUUUAAAAAAACGUAUUAUUAUAUCACCGUUACACCCUGAAAACAGCUGAGGUCGAAUUUCAUGAAAAUCGGCCCAAAAUGUACAGACAAAAUGGCCGCCGUUCGUUCUCAAAUAGCGUAAAAAAUAUGGUAUAUCAAGGUUGUGGACCCUAUAGAGGUCACAAUUUUUAUCCGAUUUUGUUGAAACUUGAAAUGUAAUUUUAUAACCCAAAGUUCUCGGUGCCUAUCGAUAUUCGCGCAUAUCGGACCGUAACUUCCUGAAUUAUGGUCCCUGAUUGUAUGAAAAAUCGCGUUUUUAGCUUGUGGACCCUAAAGGUCAUAAUUUUUAUCCGAUUUAAAAAAACCGUAUUAUUAUGUCACCGUUACACCCUAAGGACGACUGAGUUCGAAUUUCGUGAAAAUUGGCCCAAAAUUGACAGAUAAAAUUGCCGCCGUUCGUUCUCAAAUAGCGUAAAAAUAUGGUUGUGGACCCUAUAGAGGUCACAGUUUUGAUCCGAUUUUGAUGAAACUUGAAAUACAUAUUUAUAACCCAAAGAUCUUGGUUCCUUUCCAUAUACCCACAUUUUGUAUCAUAACUUCCUGAAUUAUGGCCCUUGAUUGUACGAAACAUCGCGUUUUUAGGAUGUGGUCCCUCUAGAUGUCACAAUUUUUAUCCGAUUUUAAAAAACGUUUGAAUAUAUCCCUGUCAAACCCUUAUGAUGGUUGAGUCCGAAUUUCGUACAAAUCGGACAAAAACUGCCGGACAAAAUGGCUGCCCCUCGUACGCAAAUAUUGUAAAUAUAUUGUAUAUCAAGGUUUUGGACUCUCUAGAGAGUGGACACAAUUUUGAUCCGAUUUUGAUGUAACUUGAAAUACAUGUUUAUAACCCAAAGAUCUUGGUUCCUUUCAAUAUUCAUGCAUAUCGGAUUGUAACUUCCUGAAUUAUGGCCCUUGAUUGUACGAAAAAAUCACUUCUUUUUUUGAGCUUGUUCUCUGUCCAUCUCUUGCAAAAUGUGGGCGUAUCUUGCAUGGCAACCGCUUGUUUUAGUUGUUUUUGUUUGAAUUAUAGUGUUUAUCUUUAUAUAUUCCUUAGUAUGGUGUAUAAUAGAGUUAUUUUGUAAGAUAUUUUUUUAUAAGUUAUUUUUAUUUUGAUAGUAUCUAUAUAUUAAGUAUAUCUAAAACGACUUAGAUUCCAGUAAGUGUAUGAACACUGGUUGUCAAUAUGUAAAGGAAUCAUGAAAGCACAAAAUUUGUUAUACUGUAAAAUUAGUAAAAUGUUUUGUAGAAUUUGAUGAUUUUGUUAAUUGUUCAAUCUUUCGUGUCAAACCAAUUACGGCAUUUAAAAGAAAGCUCUUCUUAAUGACAUAGUAUUUGAUUUCGUUUGUCAUAUUGUUUAGAUUAAAAACAUUUGAUAAAGCAUUACUGAGUUUGUCUCUUGCGUCCAAACUCAACAUUUCUAAUCAAAAUAAAAAUGUGAAACAAAUUGACAUUCUACCCAAACACCGUAUACCAUGGAAAAACGACUUUGGUUGAUGCAGCACAAAAUGCACAGUGUAUACUUUCUUUUGGACAUCAAUAUAUCUAUUUGUAAAUUUGUUUUAAUAAAUUAUUGUUAUUUUCUUUA